rnacentral:rRNA from 1 species
UUGCCACGCCCGCUCAAGAACUACGAAAGGAAUUCGACGGGGGCCCGCACAAGCGGUGGAGUAUGUGGUUUAAUUCGAUGCAACGCGAAGAACCUUACCUGGUCUUGACAUCCCGGAGACCCUUAGGAAACUAGGGGGUGCUUCCAUCUGGAAGAAUCUGGAGACAGGUGCUGCAUGGCUGUCGUCAGCUCGUGUCGUGAGAUGUUGGGUUAAGUCCCGCAACGAGCGCAACCCUUGCCUUUAGUUGCCAGCAGUUCGGCUGGGCACUCUAAAGGGACUGCCGGUGUUAAACCGGAGGAAGGUGGGGAUGACGUCAAGUCCUCAUGGCCUUUAUGACCAGGGCUACACACGUACUACAAUGGCCGAUACAAAGGGCAGCGACACUGCGAGGUGAAGCCAAUCCCGUAAAAUCGGUCUCAGUCCGGAUUGGAGUCUGCAACUCGACUCCAUGAAGUUGGAAUCGCUAGUAAUCGCGGAUCAGCCAAGCCGCGGUGAAUACGUUCCCGGGCCUU